AUUUGCGUGCUCUAAGAAAAAAAAAACUUUAAGUGAGUUCGAUCCACGCUGAGCCGCACUGAGAUCAAGCCAUGACAGUCCUGGCCUUUGGCGCCGCCGCUACCUGGCCGGAGGCCGUCGUCCAGUGCCUCCUCUUCGUCUUCGCCGCGGGUAUGCUCGUGGCCCUCCACUCCCUCCCCCGCCGAGUUGCUCAUCGUCUUCGCCGCCGCGCCGGCGGCUCAUCGGCCGCUCAAUCGCGCCGGCACUUCGCGCUGGGUGCCCAGCUCCUCGCCCGCGCGCGAGCCGCUGCUCCGAAGCCCCCGGGCCCGCUAGCCCGCGCGGCCCUCGCCGAGGCCGACCGCGCCAUCGCGCUCGACCCCCGCGACGCAGCGCCGCUGAUCCUCAAGGCCCUCGCCCUCGACCUCCAGGGUCACCGCCUCCCGGCGCUGCGCACCCUCGACGUCGCCCUCGGGCCGCCGCUUGCCCGUUCCCUGGAACCGCGGGAGCGCGGGGACGCGCUCGCCAAGCGCGCCGAGAUCGCACUAGCGCUUAAUCGCCGCCGUCGCCUCGACCAGGCCGCUGCGGAUCUCACCGAGGCUGUCCGCCUUAGCCCCGAGAACCCCCGCGCUCAUGCUCUGCUUGGCGAGUGCUACGAGAGGAAGGGGCUCACUGCCGAAGCCAGGAACUCCUUCAAGACCGCCGCGUCAAUCGACCCAUCUCUGGCCACUGCGCGUGACGGCCUCCGUCGGACAGGCGCAGGCAGCGAAGUUAACGAGAGUGACUGAUGACUAAUUUUUGGGUGAGCAUUUGUAGCUAUUGUUAUAUAUUUGGGGGUGGAACGAACGAUCCCCUUGAAGACCAAAUAUGGCAUUUCUGAUCUUCAUUUGUUCGUGAAGGCAUGGUCUUGCGUGAAGGUCAUCGUGUGUCACGCACUCCGAUUGCUCGUGUUAAUUGGAGUUAGAAAACAGGAACCCAGAUUUUGGGUCGUGAACUUACAGGUACUCAAUCCAUCUCCACAGCCACAGGGCAACAGAGUUAAUCAGCAAAGGACAUAGCAACUCACUCUGAAGCCGAGUUAUAUUCAGAGCUGUAUCAAGUAGGACAUCAGGUUGGUGACAUUUCGUCCACCACCUACCAGAGUGUUGCUGCUCAACUCUGGUUCAACAAGUGCAGGCAUGCAGCACUAUGUUGGCCAAACAUAACAGAAACGGACUGGUGUUAUGCCAACUGAUCAAAGCAUUGGCUGGUUUGCUGAAACAGAAUAUUACUUGUGUCCCGUAAAAAGAAACAUUGGUAACAUCUCGCCAAGUUAUUGUGCAACCACUGGUUUUGUGACGUUGUGAUGAUGCUGGUCAUUUACAUGUUUUUUUCUGAAAAGAAGGGUGCCGUGGCCUGAUGCAUGCAACCAUUUUAUUAAUAAGGAAUAGUCGUAAAUAAAGUGCAAAGUCUUACAUGAGCUCUCAAUCAAA